rnacentral:rRNA from 1 species
ACGUAGGGCGCAAGCGUUAUCCGGAAUUAUUGGGCGUAAAGAGCUCGUAGGCGGUUUGUCGCGUCUGCCGUGAAAGUCCGGGGCUCAACUCCGGAUCUGCGGUGGGUACGGGCAGACUAGAGUGAUGUAGGGGAGACUGGAAUUCCUGGUGUAGCGGUGAAAUGCGCAGAUAUCAGGAGGAACAUCAGUGGCGAAGGCGGCCAUCUGGGACAACACUGACGCUGAGGCACGAAAGCGUGGGGAGCAAACAGGA